UUGAACGCUGGCGGCCAGGCUCACACCUCCAAGUCCAACGGUAACAGGAAGAAGCUCGCUUUCUUUGCGACGAGUGGCGGACGGGUGAGUAAAGCUUGGGAAUCUGGCUAUGGAGGGGGAUAACUACGGGAAACUGUAGCUAAUACCGCGUAAUAUCGAGAGAUUAAAGGGUGGGACCGCAAGGCCACCUGCCAUGAGAUGAGCCCAAGUGGGAUUAGGUAGUUGGUGAGGUAAAGGCUCACCAAGCCGACGAUCUCUAGCUGGUCUGAGAGGAUGACCAGCCACACUGGAAAUGAGACACGAUCCAGACUCCUACGGGAGGCAGCAGUGGGGAAUAUUGCACAAUGGGGGGAACCCUGAUGCAGCCAUGCCGCGUGAAUGAAGAAGGCCUUCGGGUUGUAAAGUUCUUUCGGUAGCGAGGAAGGCAUUUAGUUUAAUAGACUAGAUGAUUGACGUUAACUACAGAAGAAGCACCGGCUAACUCCGUGCCAGCAGCCGCGGUAAUACGGGGGGUGCGAGCGUUAAUCGGAAUAACUGGGCGUAAAGGGCACGCAGGCGGUGACUUAAGUGAGAUGUGAAAGCCCCGGGCUUAACCUGGGAAUUGCAUUUCAUACUGGGUCGCUAGAGUACUUUAGGGAGGGGUAGAAUUCCACGUGUAGCGGUGAAAUGCGUAGAGAUGUGGAGGAAUACCGAAGGCGAAGGCAGCCCCUUGGGAAUGUACUGACGCUCAUGUGCGAAAGCGUGGGGAGCAAACAGG
rnacentral:rRNA from 1 species